AGGAGGUUAGUCUAACUAAGACAGUUGAUUUCGACUCAACAGAUUAUAGAUCCCCACUCUAUAACUUCCUA
rnacentral:tRNA from 1 species